AAUAAAUUAAAAUUAAAUAUAAACAAAAAAAAUAAAUUUACUUUUAAAUUAUUAAAAAAUUAAAUAUAACCUUUAAACCAAACAAACAAUUAAUUUAAUCGUCAUUUUUAAUUUAAAUAUAGAUCUACCAUAUUAAAAAUUUAAAUCAUAAAAGAUUAAAUAAUUUAAAACUAAUCAUGACAACAAUAAAUAAAAUAAAAAUAACCUAAAUUUAAAGUGCAACUUCCUAUUAAUAAACAAAUUACCCUAAUAUAAAAAUACCGCCAAAAUUAAUAAUUUUUAUAAAGUAAUAAAAUAAAUCUCAUUAACAAAAAUUAUUUAAUAAAUAUAAAUAGGGUAUCUAAUCCUAUUAUAAAAAAAACUAAAAAUUUUUAACAUAUUAACAAAAAUUAAUCUAUAUAUUUCACCAUAAAAAUAAAAAUUAAAUUAAACAUAUAAAAAUAAAUAAAUUCUAAUUUAACAUAUUAAAUACAUUAUAGAUGU
rnacentral:rRNA from 1 species